rnacentral:rRNA from 1 species
UACGUAGGGGGCGAGCGUUGUCCGGAGUUACUGGGCGUAAAGGGCACGUAGGCGGUGAUGUCAGUUUCUGGUGACAGGUCAGGGCUUAACUCUGACAGGCCUGGAAAGACGGCAUGACUUGAGGGCUUGAGAGGGAUGCGGAAUUCCAGGUGGAGCGGUGAAAUGCGUAGAGAUCUGGAAGAACACCAAAGGCGAAGGCAGCAUCCUGGGAAGUCACUGACGCUGAGGUGCGAAAGCUAGGGUAGCGAACGGG